GUUUUGUUAACUGGCAGACGCUAAACAACAACAACACCAAAGAUCGAUAAAUAAACACAUUUAGAUAUGUUUGGUUUGCUAAUUACAAGAUUAUUAUACUACUUGGGAUAAGACACAUACCAUGUUUUAUCAACUUCAGAAGUCUAGUGAGUAAGGGCAAUGCUGGAACAAUUAUAAGUGUCUACGACACCAAUUUGGCAUAAUACAUUGUAUUAAGUGAGCUACGUUGGUUCCAAUAGCAGCAACAACAACAAUACAAAUUAUACCAGACCUGAAAGGAACCAAGCUAUAGACACGUUUCACAAGGCAGUAAAAAAGGAAAAUUUCUCUACAGUAAAUAUGAAGGUACAAAAAUUCCUUUAAGCAAACAUCGCAGACCCAGAUGAGAUGCCGCAUCAUGCUGUUUGCCAAGGCCUUUUUUCUAGACGCUAGGCAUAAAAGGUUAAAAGAUGAUAGUAGACUGAGAUAAUUGAGGACAGUGACCACUGGUCAGUGACUGGGAAUAAGUUAUCCAGAGGAAUAGCUGAAGGGUGACUCCAGCCAUGUCCGAGACAGAACGAUCAACCCUGAUUUCCCAGCCUGACCAGAGUAUGCAAGGAACCAGCCCUGGUGGCAGGAAGCGGCCCCUGGCUCCCGACUGGAGCAAGUUUGGCUUGAGCCAGGAGCCAGUGAAACCCACACAUGGGGGCAGUGCAGACGCUGGACUGGAGGCUGGGUACCAGCAUGUAGAACCUGGCAACAAGAAUGAACUGUUCCAGG